CUUGUGCAUGAUGGCCAGGAGUCUUCAGGUUCCCAAGAGAGUUCUGUGCUGGAGACUCCACAAGCCUCAUGAAUAGUGACUUCUACCCCUACUACUGCAGCUGUGGUUCCUAGAUCAUCAAGAGCCAGUUGAUAAUGCUUAAUAUCAACAGAAUGAAAGAACAACUAAAUGAACAACUAAGGAAAAUAUUUUUCAGAUACUGACAGAAGCAUCCCAAAACAUAUCUAC